GACGAACGCUGGCGGCGUGCUUAACACAUGCAAGUCGAACGGAAAGGCCCUUCGGGGUACUCGAGUGGCGAACGGGUGAGUAACACGUGGGUGAUCUGCCCUGCACUUCGGGAUAAGCCUGGGAAACUGGGUCUAAAUACCGGAUAUGACCUUGGGAUGCAUGUCCUUUGGUGGAAAGCUUUUGCGGUGUGGGAUGGGCCCGCGGCCUAUCAGCUUGUUGGUGGGGUUAAGGCCUACCAAGGCGACGACGGGUAGCCGGCCUGAGAGGGUGACCGGCCACACUGGGACUGAGAUACGGCCCAGACUCCUACGGGAGGCAGCAGUGGGGAAUAUUGCACAAUGGGCGCAAGCCUGAUGCAGCGACGCCGCGUGAGGGACGACGGCCUUCGGGUUGUAAACCUCUUUCAGCACAGACGAAGCGCGAGUGACGGUAUGUGCAGAAGAAGGACCGGCAACUACGUGCCAGCAGCCGCGGUAAU
rnacentral:rRNA from 1 species